rnacentral:tRNA from 1 species
GGUUGGCUCAGUCGGUUAAGCAUCUGACUUCAGCUCAGGUCAUAAUCUCACGGUCUGUGGGUUCAAGUCCCAUGUCGGCCU